rnacentral:rRNA from 1 species
GACGAACGCUGGCGGCGUGCUUUACACAUGCAAGUCGAACGGUGAAGGUGGAGCUUGCUCCGCCGGAUCAGUGGCGAACGGGUGAGUAACACGUGGGCAACCUGCCCCUAACUUUGGGAUAACUACUCGAAAGAGUAGCUAAUACCGGAUACGAAGUCUGUAGGCAUCUACGGAUUUGGAAAGUUUUUCGGUUAGGGAUGGGCCCGCGGCCUAUCAGCUUGUUGGUGAGGUAGUGGCUCACCAAGGCGACGACGGGUAGCCGGCCUGAGGGGGCGACCGGCCACACUGGGACUGAGACACGGCCCAGACUCCUACGGGAGGCAGCAGUGGGGAGUAUUGCGCAAUGGGCGAAAGCCUGACGCAGCAACGCCGCGUGCGGGAUGAAGGCCUUCGGGUUGUAAACCGCUUUCAGCAGGGAAGAAGCGAAAGUGACGGUACCUGCAGAAGAAGCACCGGCUAACUACGUGCCAGCAGCCGCCGCAG